rnacentral:rRNA from 1 species
GAUGAACGCUAGCGGGAGGCUUAACACAUGCAAGUCGAGCGGCAAUCCCGAGCAAUCGGGACUAGAGCGGCGCACGGGUGAGUAACGCGUAUGCAACCUGCCUUUUACAGGGGGAUAGCCCGGAGAAAUCCGGAUUAAUACCCCAUGGAACUAUAAAGCCGCAUGGUUUAAUAGUUAAAGAUUUAUCGGUAAGAGAUGGGCAUGCGUGACAUUAGCUAGUUGGCGGGUAACGGCCCACAAGGCUACGAUGUCUAGGGUUCUGAGAGGAUGAUCCCCCAACUGGUACUGAGACACGGACCAGACUCCUACGGGAGCAGCAGUGAGGAAUAUUGGUCAAUGGGCGCAAGCCUGAACCAGCCAUCCCGGUGAAGGAUGAAUGUACUAUGUAUUGUAAACUUCUUUUCUGCAAAGGAAAGGGUCACUACGUGUAGUGUUUUGACGGUAUUGCAGGAAUAAGCAUCGGCUAACUCCGUGCCAGCAGCCGCGGUAAAACG